CCUCACCUGGCAUCUCGGAGGGCUCUGGCGGAUUUCUGCAGCUGGUGUCAGACCGGGAGGUGCCUGGCGCUGCCUCUACGAGGCCCUGGUCCUCACACCUGUGGAGGAAAGAGCCCAGCUCAGGUGGGCUCCUGGCGGCCUAGGACCCGCCCUCUGCCGGAGAACAUCCAAGGCUGCCUGGGAAGGGAGGAAGUGUCAGAAAGGCACGCGCUGCUCAGGUCAAGAAAAUGGGGUCUGGGACUGGACACACCACUGAGCUCUUAAAUGCAGAAAGAAUACAUCCAGCACCCCAAAAUGUUCCUGCACGCCCUUUCCAGGCAAAGCUCCCUGCAUCAC